rnacentral:rRNA from 1 species
GCAAGUCGAGCGCGCCUUCGGGUGAGCGGCGGACGGGUUAGUAACGCGUGGGAACGUGCCCUUCUCUACGGAAUAGCCUCUGGAAACGGAGAGUAAUACCGUAUACGCCCUUUGGGGGAAAGAUUUAUCGGAGAAGGAUCGGCCCGCGUUAGAUUAGGUAGUUGGUGGGGUAACGGCCUACCAAGCCUACGAUCUAUAGCUGGUUUUAGAGGAUGAUCAGCAACACUGGGACUGAGACACGGCCCAGACUCCUACGGGAGGCAGCAGUGGGGAAUCUUAGACAAUGGGGGCAACCCUGAUCUAGCCAUGCCGCGUGAGUGAUGAGGGGCUUAGGGUCGUAAAGCUCUUUCGCCUGUGAUGAUAAUGACAGUAGCAGGUAAAGAAACCCCGGCUAACUCCGUG